UACAGAGGGUGCGAGCGUUUAAUCGGAAUUACUGGGCGUAAAGCGUGCGUAGACGGUUACAUAAGUCGGGUGUGAAAGCCCCGGGCUCAACCUGGGAAUUGCAUUCGAGACUGCGUAGCUAGGGUGCGGAAGAGGGAAGCGGAAUUUCCGGUGUAGCGGUGAAAUGCGUAGAUAUCGUAAGGAAGACCAGUGGCGAAGGCGAAGUCUCUGGACAGUUACUGACGCUGAGGCACGAAGGCCAGGGGAGCAAACGGG
rnacentral:rRNA from 1 species